UACGAAGGGGGCUAGCGUUGCUCGGAAUCACUGGGCGUAAAGGGUGCGUAGGCGGGUCUUUAAGUCAGGGGUGAAAUCCUGGAGCUCAACUCCAGAACUGCCUUUUAUACUGAGGAUCUUGAGUACGGGAGAGGUGAGUGGAACUGCGAGUGUAGAGGUGAAAUUCGUAGAUAUUCGCAAGAACACCAGUGGCGAAGGCGGCUCACUGGCUCGAUACUGACGCUGAGGUGCGAAAGCGUGGGGAGCAAACAGG
rnacentral:rRNA from 1 species